UACGGAGGGAGCUAGCGUUAUUCGGAAUUACUGGGCGUAAAGCGCACGUAGGCGGCUUUGUAAGUUAGAGGUGAAAGCCUGGAGCUCAACUCCAGAAUUGCCUUUGAUACUGCAUGGCUUGAAUCCAGGAGAGGUGAGUGGAAUUCCGAGUGUAGAGGUGAAAUUCGUAGAUAUUCGGAAGAACACCAGUGGCGAAGGCGGCUCACUGGCCCGGUACUGACGCUGAGGCGCGAAAGCGUGGGGAGCAAACAGG
rnacentral:rRNA from 1 species